AUUAAUGUUUGACUUUAUUUGUUUUAAAUUUCAGCAGAGAGAGAGAGCAAGAGGGGGGGGGCAAGCAAGGAUUCAACUCAUGGUCCAACCAAAGAAGAAGCCAUGGGUUUUCAACCUGAUGAACCAACCAGCCAACAACUAACGAAGAAGGGAAUAGCCUGUCGUGUGGCACACGGGGGACAGAGGGGACACUCUUCAAUUCCAUGUCGUAUCCAGAAGUGCUCCAAACAACAGUUGCAAAAGCUCUGGUCACAAGCGAUGCAGCCGAGGACCACUGAAGCCAGGAAGGUUUCCCCACACACGGCGCAGCAGGAAUCGUCCACAGCCAGACUUGAGACACCACCCUCCAUCUGUGAAACCGCAUGCAGCCCUGAUAGGGUCUCUGCAGUGAAACCUAUAUUCCCUCUUAAAGUACAGUAUGUACCAUUGGUGUUUAACUGCAUAUGGUCCUGCUGCUGGAGGGAGGGAGGGAGACUCCUCGUGUUUCAUCAUAACACAACAUGUUUCAAACCAUGCUUCUAAAAUACUGGAUAACUAUGCAGGAACUAUUGUAAAGUUGUAUAUAUAUUUUAAUAUUUUAGUUUAACCUAAGCUGUGUCCUUAA